UACGUAGGGUGCAAGCGUUGUCCGGAAUUAUUGGGCGUAAAGAGCUCGUAGGCGGUUUGUCGCGUCUGCUGUGAAAACCCGAGGCUCAACCUCGGGCCUGCAGUGGGUACGGGCAGACUAGAGUGCGGUAGGGGAGAUUGGAAUUCCUGGUGUAGCGGUGGAAUGCGCAGAUAUCAGGAGGAACACCGAGGGCGAAGGCAGAUCUCUGGGCCGUAACUGACGCUGAGGAGCGAAAGCGUGGGGAGCGAACGGG
rnacentral:rRNA from 1 species